UUUCACAUAACUGUUAGAGACACUAUCAGUGGUGAAGGAACAAACCAAGGAAUAAAAACAAAAUUAAUUAAUUUCCGGAGUGGAAGUACCAUUGCCCAAUAUCAAGUCAUUGCUCCCCUUUCUGAAAUAC